UUACCGGGUCCGGACACACUGAGGAUUGACAGGCAAUAUAUGGUUACUUCGGUAGUCAUUGUUAAAUAUGCUAGUCCUUUCAUGAUUAUGUGAUAGGUGGUGCAUGGCCGUUCUUAGUUCGUGGAGUGAUCUGUCUGCUUAAUUGCGUUUCACUUAUUUUAUAGGAUCUAAUAUUAAUGAUGUGUGAGCGACUCGCAUGCUCUUGACCCACACUUGUUUACUCAGGUGGUCCGUGCGUCAUUAUAGGCUUUUGCUUGACCUCCCAUCUUUUAGCUAUCCUUUGAAAGCAACGAACGUGACCGCAACCUCUUGUUGCCUUCGUUUAACAUCCUACUGGCCUUUAUUGCGCUUGGUGGGUAUUGAGGGCUUCACUCAUUCACUUGAGUAAACUAGAGGGACCGCUGUCUACUUCUUAAACCAGAGGAAGGUUGCGGCAAUAACAGGUCUGUGAUGCCCUUAGAUGUUCCGGGCUGCACACGUGCUACAAUGAUUGUGGCAGUGAGCAUCUAUGAGAUUUACUUACAUGAGUUCGUGAAGUGUGCUUCGGCUCACGGAUCGACUCUAAAAGCCUGCUUUGAGAGCAAGUGGGUAAUCAAUUAGAAGUAACGAUUUCUUCGCAUUAGCACACUUAUAUACGGCGUUUAUGCCCGGGUCUCACUUGUUGAGGCCUCUGCGUGCGUAGAUG
rnacentral:rRNA from 1 species